GGCUCAGUGGUCUAGGGGUAUGAUUCCUGCUUUGGGUGCAGGAGGUCCCGGGUUCAAAUCCCGGUUGAGCCC
rnacentral:tRNA from 1 species